UUUUCCUUUUCUCCCAGGGCCGGGGUGAGGUUCAGCUGAUGCUCUCCCAACUUUUCUCUGGACAAAAGGAGAAAUCCAAAGCCUCCCUUAAAGCAGCUUUCUUACUUCCUCGCGGGUUUCCCGCCAGAGGACCUGCAAGGAGCUUGGACCUCAAUCUUUCUAAUUAAAGGGUGUUGACAGAGGUCAGCGGGUGGCAGCGAGAUAAAGGACAUGUAAGCUCUGUGUUGGGUGAAACGAGCAGGGGCCACAUGAGUA